rnacentral:rRNA from 1 species
AGUGAACACUGGCGGUAGGCCUAACACAUGCAAGUCGAACGGCAGCACAGUAAGAGCUUGCUCUUACGGGUGGCGAGUGGCGGACGGGUGAGGAAUACAUCGGAAUCUACUUUUUCGUGGGGGAUAACGUAGGGAAACUUACGCUAAUACCGCAUACGACCUACGGGUGAAAGCAGGGGAUCUUCGGACCUUGCGCGAUUGAAUGAGCCGAUGUCGGAUUAGCUAGUUGGCGGGGUAAAGGCCCACCAAGGCGACGAUCCGUAGCUGGUCUGAGAGGAGGAUCAGCGACACGGGAACUGAGACACGGACCAGACACCUACGGGAGGGAGCAGUGGGGAAUAUUGGACAAUGGGCGCAAGCCUGAUACAGCCAUACCGCGUGGGUGAAGAAGGCCUUCGGGUUGUAAAGCCCUUUUGUUGGGAAAGAAAAGCAGCAGGUUAAUACCCCGCUGUUCUGACGGUACCCAAAGAAUAAGCACCGGCUAACUUCGUG